UACAGAGGGUGCAAGCGUUGUUCGGAAUUAUUGGGCGUAAAGCGCGUGUAGGCGGCCAGACAAGUUGGGUGUGAAAGCCCUCGGCUUAACCGAGGAAGUGCGCCCAAAACUAUCUGGCUUGAGUACCGGAGAGGAUGGUGGAAUUCCCGGUGUAGAGGUGAAAUUCGUAGAUAUCGGGAGGAACACCUGCGGCGAAGGCGACCAUCUGGACGGAUACUGACGCUGAGACGCGAAAGCGUGGGGAGCAAACAGG
rnacentral:rRNA from 1 species